rnacentral:tRNA from 1 species
GCAUUGGUGGCUCAAUGGUAGAAUUCUCACCUCCCAUGCAAGAGACCUGGGUUCAGUUCCUGGCCAAUGUA